UACCUUCAAAUCACGAUAGAGGAAAAAAAAAUACUUAAAAGAAAAAACACUAUUUAUCUAGUAGUAAUAUCAUUUCAUUCUGCCAGAAACCUGUAUUGUAUCCGUGGAAUUAAAUUAUUCGCCUGUGUCUAAUUUACCAUUCGCAGCCAGAUGAAAAACAAUGAGUCUGUUGAGUCAGAGGAACCAAACAAUCAGAAACGUGAUCUAGAGCUUAGCAUUGCACGGAGCCACCCAAAAGUGGACUUAUGGUUCUGUGAAGAAUGUAAGGAGUACUACAUAGAGGAAUGCUCAACCCAUGGGCCCCCAGUCUUCAUGCCAGACACAUUUGUGGCCUUAGGGGUCCCCAACCGUGCUGCUCUCUCUGUCCCAUCUGGAAUAAAGAUAAUCCAGGAGGGAGGAAAAAUGGAUGUGUGCUGCAUGGAAAAAAACAUCCCAAAGGGGGCCCUGUUUGGGCCUUACCAAGGAGAGCUCGUCUCUCAGGACAAGUCCUCAGGGUUCUUCUCCUGGAUGGUAUGUGGGAAUUCAGCGGAGGAGAGUGAGCGGAACCUGACCGCCUUUCAGUACAGUGAAGACAUCUACUUCCAGGUGUGCCGGAACUUGGCAGUAGGCGAGAAGCUACGCGUGUGGUACAGUGAGGACUACAUGGGAAAGUUACACAGCAUGUCGCAAGACACCGCUAACAGAAACCUUCCCACAGGGGUGCUCAUAUGUUCUCAGUGUGGGAAGAACUACUGAUGGACACCACAUCUGACAAACUGCUCCCAGUGUGGAAAUAGCUUCAGCCAUUCAAGGCGAGUAAAGGCUUUCAGGACCCUAGGAGCCUCCAGGGUGCCCCUCUGAAGACGGCUGUGAUGCCAUGGGGGCAGGUCCCACCGGGCGCAUCACCAGCCCUUCCUCUGGCAUCUCGGCGAGGGAGGACUGGGUGAAGAUGGACGCGCGCAGGUCCAGGUUGACGGACAACAAGCCGGGCAGAAGCUGCCGCUGGUACUGGUCCAGACGGAGGAUGAGGUCCAACAUGGAGGAGCUGCUCCCGCUCAUCCAGCUGGGACUGGGCCGGGCGGGCAGGGACUGGGAGCGUCGCAGCUCCAGCUGGUACGACAGCCUGGUACACAGGACAGGACAGGGAUUAGGAACACUGGGCGACAUGGCUCAGGCAGUAAGAGCAGUCGUCUGGCAGUCGGAGGGUUGCCGGUUCGAUCCCCCAACUAGGCUGUGUCGAAGUGUCCCUGAGCAAGACAGCUAACCCCCGAAUGCUCCUGACGAGCUGGUCGGCGCCUUGCAUGGCAGCCAAUCACCGUCGGUGUGUGAGUGUGUGUAUGAAUGGGUGAAUGAGAAGCAUCAAAUGUACAGCGCUUUGGAUAAAGGAGCUAUAUAAAUGCCAACCAUUUACCAUUUACCAAGAUUCAUAACAUUAAAAUGGAGAAGAAUAAUUGCUGCAUUUUACAAUACAUGUAAACAAAUUGAGCAAAUCUGAAUUAUGGGCUGUAUACAAUUGUAUAAUUCUUUUUUUUA